GCUUAUACAAAAUAGUUUCCUGCAAACUCAAGUGGCUGGGAAGCCCAGCUGAAGGUUACUUCUACCCCAAGGCCAUGUCAGCAGAAAGUGGCCAACAGGACUUGGGCCUGAAAAAGCUCAGACUGAAUUUUAGGAGUGACAUCUGAAACUGCUGGUUUCUCACAAGGAAUAAAAGCUGUCUGGGAAGCUGGAGAGGCAGUGUGCUGUCUGGAGCAGGGACUUGCAAAUGGGAACAGUGAAGAGAGACAGCAUCUCCUUCCUCUGAAGAUUCUGUUCAGAAUGGAUAAAGGUUCAGCAUCCUCCCUGGAUGGGGCAGCUUAGCAGAUACAGGGUCUCGCCAUGAGCCACAGCACCUGGCCACUUCUCAUUUUUAAUACUGUAGACCCAGAGGAAAGCACUGGGAGGAAUGAGAAAGUAGCGACUAGACAAAAAUGAAAACUCUUUAAGAAGCAUUGCUGAAGUUACAGGGGAAAAAGAUUAAGACAACUGAGGUUAAGGGCCUGACUCCAGAUCACACAGCAAGGGAGAUGGCAAAAUCAAGAUUUCAACCCAGGAAACCUGCCUCCCAUGCCUAUGUUAAUCACUACACCCUUCCCACAAUAAAUAAUCAAAUAAGCU
rnacentral:lncRNA from 1 species